rnacentral:sRNA from 12 species
CGCCUAAACCCAUAAUUUAAAUUGCGGGCAUGGCACAAACCCCACAUACGCAUACUGAACCCGUCGUUCAGGCUAUUGCAUAUGUGGUCAUAUUCCGAAAGGAAUAUGGAGGCGCAAGUCUC